GUAGGUGGCAAGCGUUGUCCGGAAUUAUUGGGCGUAAAGCGCGCGCAGGCGGUUCUUUAAGUCUGAUGUGAAAGCCCACGGCUCAACCGUGGAGGGUCAUUGGAAACUGGAGAACUUGAGUACAGAAGAGGAAAGCGGAAUUCCACGUGUAGCGGUGAAAUGCGUAGAGAUGUGGAGGAACACCAGUGGCGAAGGCGGCUUUCUGGUCUGUAACUGACGCUGAGGCGCGAAAGCGUGGGGGAGCAAACAGGACUAGAUACCCUGGUAGUCCACGCCGUAAACGAUGAGUGCUAAGUGUUAGGGGGUUUCCGCCCCUUAGUGCUGCAGCUAACGCAUUAAGCACUCCGCCUGGGAGUACGGCCGCAAGGCUG
rnacentral:rRNA from 1 species